rnacentral:tRNA from 1 species
AUUGGUCUAGAGGCAUGAUUCCUGCUUUGGGUGCAGGAGGUCCCGGGUUCGAUUCCCG